UUGAUAGUGAAGAAACUCAUCUGUGCGGUUUCUUACCCGAAUACCAAUAUUAUAUACAGAGUGUUAUAUAUUGUCGUUUUUAUUAUAACCUUAUACAACACAAAAAUAUAAAUCUGAACAACAUGGUGUUUCUAACAAAUUACAUGUUAUGAGCCUAUGAUCAAAUAUGAACAGGACUGUCAAAAAAAACACAUUUUCACAUACAUACAUAUCUUAAUACAAAGUAGGCUUCUGAGCACCAAUGUUUCAUAUAUGGUACUUGUUAUAAGACUCGCUUGAGAUGGCCUUCAGCGAAUAUUGGUUUUGUUCGAUGUCGGUUAAUUUUUGAAGCGCCAUUCAUUAUAUUGUUCGAUAGUUUCGACGUCAUAUUCAUACUUCCGCUUUCCGUCUUCAGUAGUCUUGGGCUACAUGAAUGAUCAAAUUUGAACCGGACUGUCAAAAAAACUAUGGUACAUUAUUACUUAUGUUAAUACAAAUUUGUAUUAUCAUUUUAUAUAUGGUACGUUAGCAUGCUUCUCUUUACGACCCCCACUCGACGUCAUUUUUGGAAAGAUUCAUCCCUUUUGGCACUAGUUUAGUUUCAUUCCCAAAACAUUAAACAAAAUCUGUUGAGUCGAUCCAUAAGAGAUGUAGAGAUCCUCUGCUGGCAAGGUUUCUUUAACUUCUUCAAUGCUAUCGUCAUUAACAAAGGUGGAUGAACGCUUGUGAGAGACAAGUUGUCGAUGACCUCAUCACCUUCACUGAAUGUUUGUACCAUUUAAAUGUUUGUAAUGAAAUAAAUCCCACAAACACACAUUUUUAAACUAAUUGACAAAUUCAAUGUAAAAAUCGCCAGACUUUAUCGUAAACUAAAAGCUAAAAAACACUAACUGACAUAUAGAAAUAAAACUUCACACUUUAUGUUCGUGUGAAAAUUGUACCAAACUAAGAAAACAGUUUUAUAGAAUCGGUUUGCGUAUUUUUAUGGACCAGGUCAAAAUAUAUCAGGUGGUAUUUUUCGAUUCGAUCAAACUUAGAGUUGACAUAUUUUUUCCGGAUUUUUUUCUGAUUUAUACUAAAUUAUAGUAUUUCCAUUUUACUUUAUUUACAGAUGGGCGAAAUUUAUAAAUUAUUGCUUACUUUUCACAUAAAUUCAGAUUAAGCUACAAGUUAAGCUGAUAUGCACACAGAAUAAGCCAGGUAUUAGGAAAGAAUGUGCUUGGUUAAAAUAUUUUAAUAACCCAUUUGGAAUAACCCAUAUUAUUUCUUCGUUUUCAUAAAUUUACAAAAUAUUUGCAUAUUUGCAAUAAUAAUACGCAAUAAUAUUUAAUGAAAUGCAAAUAUACUAAACAGAUUUGAGCUUAAUGUCAGAAAGUAAGAAAUUUACCCCACUUACAAGAUUAAUUAACUAUGAAGUGGGCAAGUGGGCAAGUGUACUUAGAACCCGCCACUGAAAUCGCGGACAUACUCGUAUCACAUAAAUUUCAGCUGGAGCCUUUAUCGUCCCACUUGAAACGUUUUAUUUGCCUGGAUUUGUAAACACCGGUUAUGUGCUCAGUUUAAGAAAUUAUUUAAUACUACUGACCGUAAUCUGAUGUAAUUUUCUAACUAAAAAUGCUAAUAUAUAUUUAUACAAUAUAUAAGUAUAUGUUAGUACUGCAUAAAUACAAUAAAAGUUGCAUUUCUUACAGUGGGGGUAUUCACUAAAUAUUCAUGUAACAUACAUACAUGUCUUGGAUUUUGCAGACUUCAGUAGUAACAAUAUAAAAUUUAGCUUAUUUAAUAAACAUAAUAUGGUUUUAAAAACUUACAGAGCUCGUUAAGGAGCUACAUAGGUUUCUCUGCUUUUUUAUUGACAUAUUUCAUUCCUAAUAUAUUGUCCUAAAUUCUCAAGUUGUGUAAUAGUUUUGAGGAUACAGUUUGAAAAGCUGUGCGCUCGAGUUCAAAUAAAGGGUGAACCAUUUCGAGGUUCCCAACUUUUUUAAAGAAAAAACACAGAAACUUCAAAUUUAAUAGGGAAUGUUUAUUAUCAUUCGAAAGAACAUUAUUUGGCAUUUAUUUUUUGAAGAUUAUCUCUUUCAAAUGUUGGCCGCGGCUACGUCUCAGAUGGUCCAUCCGUUGAGUCCAAUUUUCGAUGACUCGUUCAAGCAUUUCGACUGGUAACUGGCGAAUGAUACGCGUGAUGUUUUGCUUCAAGGCCUGAAUCGAUGCGAAAUUGUCUGCAUAGACUUAAUACUUUACAUAUUCUCACGGGAAAACCUCUAAAUAUCUCACAAUCUUGGUGGCCAAUCGACCGGCCCAAAACGUGAAAUUAUCUGCUCACUGAAGUGUUUUCUCAAUAAAUGCAUCGCAUCAGAUGUGUGAGAAGUGCGCCGUCUUGUUAAAACCAAAUGUCGCCGAGAUCACGAGCUUCAAUUUAAGUAAUCAAAUAGUCGGUUAUCGUGGCGCGUUAACGGUCGCCAUUGACGGUUACGUUUUCAUCGAAGCCGAAUAUCUCGCGAAGUAUUAAUGAUAGCGAUUUUGACCUCGGACAUUUUUUGUAGCAAAUAAAAUUUCCAACAAGUUUGUCAUGUACUUUUUUUCUAACACUUUUGUAGAGUGUGCAAUUCUGAGUAAUAUGUGUUUAAAGUCAAAGCGAUGCCAUUAAAUUGUCUCUGAGCUAUAGAAAUUUAAUGAUAAAAAAUCACGAUUGCCGUGUAUUUUCAAUGGAAAAAUUUUACUUGCCUUGGUCCAGUCCUUAAUGUUAAUAUUAAGGGCUCAAAUUUUCAGGGAAUUUGUUUUAAGGGUAUUUCCAAGGAAAUUUCAAGAUGGGAUUGAUAAAAUCGAAUAGUUCAAAAAAAAAAACACCCUAACACACUACAAACUUUGUCUAUCAAAAAUAAUAUUAAUUAAAUUUUGUAUGCUUUCUUUCUAAUAUGUGGCAUAUAGUACAUAUAUAAUUUAUUUACCACAGUGAAUACCUCUAUUGUAUGGAAGUGUAAAAAACUAUAACAGUUCUUCGAGCUGCAAUACUGAAAGUGAUGCAGUGCACUUGUUUCGUUAAUUAGUUCUCAGCAGAUUAGUUCAUUCUAUGCAUAUGCACGCAGUACAAACCACACGUACAUAUAUGUACAUGUAGGAAUGCAGUUUUAAUUAUUCAUUGCACCUACAGUUACAGUAAAUAACGUAAUAGAAGACAAAUCUUUAAAUCAGCGGUGCUUAGAAACACAAUACAAUACUCGGUUCGAGCAAGUUUCCGUUUAUUAAGUCACAUUAUUUUCUUUAAUAAUAUUAUAUUUAGAAAACUAAUAUUUCUUGUUUUGACACGACUUAAUAUCGCAAAUCAUAGCUGACUAUUGCUUAACUGUAAAAAUGUUGAAUAGAAUUUUUAUACUCACACAACAUGUUGCUACGAAGUACAUACGUAGGUUACCUUUUAUAUUCUGGGAUUAGACUACAAAAUUCUCUAUUAAGAUCUAUAUAUUUUUAUAUGCGUUUGAACAAUUUGUCGAAGCACUUUUGCUACUCAAAUUGAAGUAUCUCCAAAACAUGCAUUUUGAACGCAUCAGUCGGUGCUUUAGGAAUAAAAGAAGUCAUUCGGUGACAUGUCAGAACUUUACAAUGUAAUACCCAUCAAAUCGAUGUUUUUUUGUCGUGGUGAAGAGUAAUUCGUCUUCGGCAGGUGUCAACCAAUUGACACAAGGAUUUUUUGAGCUAUUGACAAAUUGUGUGUGAUCCAACGUAAACGAUCUUUUACAUUCAAAUGCUCAUGAACUAUUGAAUGCAAUAUCAGAAUGCACACAGCAUCAAUUGUUUUGGGAAAAACUACUGAUAUUGGACGACUUUCCCGAAAUUCGUCUUGCAGUGAUCUGCGAAUUCGAUU